UGGCGUCGUGCUUAACACAUGCAAGUCGAACGAUGAACCACUUCGGUGGGGAUUAGUGGCGAACGGGUGAGUAACACGUGGGCAAUCUGCCCUGCACUCUGGGACAAGCCCUGGAAACGGGGUCUAAUACCGGAUAUUGACCUUCACGGGCAUCUGUGAGGUUCGAAAGCUCCGGCGGUGCAGGAUGAGCCCGCGGCCUAUCAGCUUGUUGGUGAGGUAAUGGCUCACCAAGGCGACGACGGGUAGCCGGCCUGAGAGGGCGACCGGCCACACUGGGACUGAGACACGGCCCAGACUCCUACGGGAGGCAGCAGUGGGGAAUAUUGCACAAUGGGCGAAAGCCUGAUGCAGCGACGCCGCGUGAGGGAUGACGGCCUUCGGGUUGUAAACCUCUUUCAGCAGGGAAGAAGCGAAAGUGACGGUACCUGCAGAAGAAGCGCCGGCUAACUACGUGCCAGCAGCCGCGGUAAUACGUAGGGCGCAAGCGUUGUCCGGAAUUAUUGGGCGUAAAGAGCUCGUAGGCGGCUUGUCACGUCGGUUGUGAAAGCCCGGGGCUUAACCCCGGGUCUGCAGUCGAUACGGGCAGGCUAGAGUUCGGUAGGGGAGAUCGGAAUUCCUGGUGUAGCGGUGAAAUGCGCAGAUAUCAGGAGGAACACCGGUGGCGAAGGCGGAUCUCUGGGCCGAUACUGACGCUGAGGAGCGAAAGCGUGGGGAGCGAACAGGAUUAGAUACCCUGGUAGUCCACGCCGUAAACGGUGGGCACUAGGUGUGGGCAACAUUCCACGUUGUCCGUGCCGCAGCUAACGCA
rnacentral:rRNA from 1 species